UUUAGGAUUUAUUAUUUAGGGUUUCUUAGGGUUUGGGUUUUAGGUUAAGAGAUUUUUAGGGUUUAGGUUUUUUUUUAGUGUUUUUUAGGUUUAGAAUUUUUAAAGGUUUUUCGGGUUUCUUAGAUUUUUUAAGAUUUUGGGUUUCUUAAGGUUUAGGGUUACUUAGGAUAUAGGGCAUAGGGUUUUAAGUUUAGGAUUUUUUUAGGGCUUAGGGUUUUAAAGGGAUAUAUUGUGUUUUUUUAGGGUAUUAUAGUUUUAGGGGUUUUAAAGGUUUUUAGGGUUUAGGAUUUCUUAGUGUUUCAUAAGGAUUGGGGUUUAGCCGUGUGGUUUAGAGUUAGGAUUUAACGUUUCUUAGUGUAUAGGGUUUAGCGUUUAGGGUUUCUUAGUGUUCUGGAUUUUAGGUUUUGGUUUUUUUUUAAAGGGUUUUUUAGGGUUUAGGGGUUUUGGGAUUAAGAUUUUCUAGGUUUUUUUUUGAUAAAUUAGUGGACUUUUUUAGGUUUAGUGUUUUUAGGAUUUUUUUAGUUUUUUACGAUUUAGGAUUCUUUUAGGGGUUAGGGUUUUAGAUUAAGGUUUUUUAUAGGGUUUUUAGGGUUUUUAUCAUUUAGGGUUUUAAAAUGUUUUUAGGGUUUUAAUUAUUUCUUAAGGUUUAGGGUUUCUUAGGGUUUAGCACUAAGGUUUAGGGUUUCUUAAGGUAUAUAGUUUAGGGUUUUAAAAUGUUUUUAGGGUUGUAAUUAUUUCUUAACGUUUAGGGUUUCUUAGGGUUUAGCACUAAGGUGUAGGGUUUCUUAAGGUAUAUAGUUUAGCAUUUAAGCUUUCUUAGGGUUUAGUGUGUUAGGUUUAGGUUUUUUAUUAAAGGGUUUUAGCGUUUAAGGUUUAGGGUUUAAGUUUUUCUAAAAUUUAUUUAGGUUUAAAAUUUUAAAAGGUUUUUUACGAUUUAUAUGGUUUUUUUACGGUUUAGGGGUUCUUAGGGCUUAUGGUUUCAUUGGGUUUAGGGCUUAUGAUUUUACAUUUAGGAUUUUUUAGGGGUUAGAGUUUUUAAGGGUUUUUUAGGUUUAGUGUAUUUAAAGGUUUUCUUAGGGUUUAGGGUUUCUUAGUGUUUCAUAAGGCUUGUGGUUUAGGGUUUUUCUGAAGGUUUAGGGUUUACAGUUAAUUGUUCUUUAGGGUUACGGUUUAGGGUUUAGGGUUUCUUAGGUUUAGGCUUUUAAAUAUUUUUUAUGGUGUUGAUCUAAUAUGCUUAUCAAAUAUGCUUAUGAUAUGCAAGCUCAGGGUUAGCUUGGGGUCACUCGUGAUCCUAGGUCCUAUAUUACGUCAAGGGGGGUUAGCCUCGGGGAGUGACAAAAACAAUGUUUGAAUAAAAGCGUCUAACUGACUAGAGAUGUUGGGACUUGCGCCCAACUAAAUCUAGCAAAACUGAAACUAAAAUGGAAGACUGAAUAUAAAACAUCUCAAUUGUCCUUGAAGAAUGAGGACUUACCACUGAUAUUGCUUAAUACGGAUCCAGAACUGAUCUACACGUGAUCUGAAUGCUGAGGAAAUGAACCUACAUCACGAGAAGAUGUAGCACACAGUAUGUGUCAGUACUUGAAAGGUACUGAGCAUGCAUGAUAGGAUAAAGCUGAACAAAUGUAUAUAACUGAACAAAGUACAUUGAACAAUGAUAUAAUCUGAACAUGAUGAAUAUACCGAAGCAUACUGAAUAUGAACUAACUGAAUACAAUGACCAAUUACUGGGGUUUAUGGCUUAGGGUUUGGGGUUUGGGGUUUAUCCCUAAGGUUUAGGGUUUAGUGUGCCUUAGGGUUUAGGUUUCUGGUUUCUUAGAGUUUAGAGUUUAGCGUUUAAGGUUUCAUAGGUUUUUUUUUGGGUCUUUUAGGGUGUAGGGUUUAGGGUUUAGUGUUUUAGGUUUAGGGUUUAGGUUGUUUUGAUAGGUUUGUUUGUUUUAGGAUUUCUUAAGAGUUUUUUCUAGGUUUAGUGUUUUUAAAGAUUUUUUGUAUUUUUUAGGGUUUGGGCUUAUGGUUUUUAAGGGUUUACGGUUUAGGGUUUUUUAGGUAUAGGGUUCGGGGUUUAGAGUUUAGAGUUUAGGAAUUUUUAGGUUUAGGGGUUUUAAUGUUUUCUUUUAGGUUUUUUAGGGUUUAGAUUUUCUUAGUGAUUUUUAGGGUUUAAGGGAUCUUAUGGUUUAGAGUUUCAUAGGGUUCAGGGUUUUUUUAAAAAGAUUUUUAGGGUAAAUUAUGUUGUAGGGCAUAGUGUUUUAUAUCUUUUUUUUUAGGUUUUUAGGAGUUCGCAAAGGUUUUUUUUUUUAUAUAUAGUUUUUAGGUUUAGAGUUUUUAAAGUUUUUUAGGGUUUCAUAGGAUUUAGAGUAUUGGGGUUUGUUAGAGCUUGGCGUUUAUAAGGGUUUAAGGUUUAGAGUUUCUUAGGGUUUACGGUUUAGAGUUUCUUAGCAUAUGUUAGGGUUCAGGGUUUCUUGGUUUCAGGUUUAGGGCAUAGGGCUUAGG
rnacentral:lncRNA from 1 species